rnacentral:RNase_P_RNA from 1 species
AUGGCAGAGCGAUCAGUCGCGGGAAACCGAGGAAAGUCCGCACAGGGAAGGGCACCCGUCUGCGGAAAGCGCAGUGGAGAGUAAUCUUCAGAUAUCGUAACAGAAAACAACCGCCCUGCAAAGGGUAAGGGUGAAAACGCGGGGUAAGAGCCCACGACGCUUUGCGGCGACGUAAAGCGGGUACGCAUCCGGGCCUGCAAGACCAAAUAUACCGGCAGUUGAGGGCUGCCCGCCUGAUGCCGGGGGGUAGGUUGCGAAGAUAAAUGACAGAUUUAAAAACAGAAAGCGGCUUACGGCCCUGCCAUUUCC